AUGGCUGAGACCCCCCGCGCCCCGCCGCCACUGAGGCCUCCGCCGCCCGUUCCGCUGCCCGACACGCCGCCUCGGCCGGAUUCGUCGCCUUCGACGCCCGGCGAGGACUACCACACGCCCACGCCCUCGCUGGACGAGGCGCGCGAAGAAACCCCGGCCCUCUCGCCCGUGCGCCUCCCCUCGCCGCACCGCUUGCUGCCGCCCAACUCCCCCACCGGCAACGUCGACGACGGUGCCGCCGCCGGGCAUGCGCCGGUGCCGGGCCGCCGCCCGCAGCUCCGGCUUGCGCCCGGCCUCGUCCGGACGCCGUCGCAAGGGUCCGUCGCCAAGUCUCCCUCGCCAUCGCCCUCUUCGUCGCUGACGCCGCCAUCGCCUCUAACCCCGGGUCCCACAAUCACAACCAACAACAAGAGCGCCCAGAGCACGCCAAAGCGCACGGAGGCAUGGAAGCCGCCGGCCACGGGGAUCGCGGUGCAGUUCGACCCUGUCGAGGAAGCCGUCACGUCGCCGCUGCAACUCGGCAAGCCCCGAAUCGACCGCCAUCGCGCCACUACGAUGACGGCAGCAGAGAACGGAGGCGCGCCCAACACGGUGCCUCGCGACGUGGCGGCGGUGGCCGCGGUCGGGGAGAGGAGGCCACUGUCGGUGGCGCUGCGGCUGGCCACGGCGGUGCUCAGCCUGGCGUCCUUCGCGGUGAUGGCCAGCGCCCGGACGUCCGGCUGGGAUGGCGAUCACUUCGAUCGCUACGAUCAGUACAGGUACGCCCUGGCGGUGAACGUGAUCGUCUGUGCCUACUCAAUCGUGCAAUCGCUGGGUGAGAUCCGCCGUCUGGUCGCGGCGAGGUUUAUUUACAGGAGCAUGUCAAGCUACUACUUCAGCCUGUUCCUUGAUCAGGUCCUGGCGUAUCUCCUCAUGUCCGCGUCGUCGGCUGCUGCGUCGCGCAACGAUCUGUGGGUGUCGAGGUUCAGCCAGGAUGCCUUCAACAGGAAGAUCACCAGCUCGGUGUGGCUGUCCUUCCUUGCCUUCAUAGCGCUCGCCGCAAGCUCGCUCAUCUCCACGGCUAAUCUCUUCAGCAUGGUCUAA
rnacentral:rRNA from 1 species